rnacentral:lncRNA from 1 species
CUGUUUAUAUGUACAGACCAAGAAGUCAUUAUCUCAAACUGACAUUGAAUGACAGUCCAAACUCUUAAACUCUCACUAAGCUUCAAACUAGACUACUUCUUCGCAAUAUUUAUCCCAGUAGCACUAUUUGUCAUCUGAUAUAUUGUGAAAUUAUCAAUAUGAUACAUAAACUCAGACUGUAACAUUAAUCAAUUUUUCAAAUAUUUACUUAUUUUCCUCAUCACAAUAUUCUGGUUACCGCCAACAACCUCUUUCAAUUCUUUAUCGGGUGAUAGGGUAUAGGAAUCAUGUCUUUUUUACUAAUUACCUGAUGGUAUGGCUGAGCAGAUGCUAAUACAGCAGCCCUCCAAGCAGUUCUGCACAACCACAUCAGAGAUAUUGGCUUUAUUUUAGCGAUAGCAUGGUUCCUCUUAUCCUCCAACACAUGAGAGCUUCAACAAGCAUUUAUUCUAAAUCCUACCCCCGACUCCCUUCCAUUAAUUAGCCUUCUCUUAGCAG